rnacentral:rRNA from 1 species
UACAGAGGAGCCAAGCGUUGUCCGGAUUGACUGGGCGUAAAGCGCGUGUAGGCGGCCACGCAGGUCCGUUGUGAAAACUAGAGGCUCAACCUCUAGACGUCGACGGAAACCGUGUGGCUAGAGUCCGGAAGAGGAGAGUGGAAUUCCUGGUGUAGCGGUGAAAUGCGCAGAUAUCAGGAAGAACACCAAUGGCGAAGGCAGCUCUCUGGGACGGUACUGACGCUGAGACGCGAAAGCGUGGGGAGCGAACAGG